rnacentral:ncRNA from 1 species
GCUAUGGAGUGUUAUACAAACUAAAGUAGAUUAGGCAAAAUAGGACACAACGAAGUAGUGA